rnacentral:rRNA from 1 species
GGUUGAUCAUGGCUCAGGAUGAACGCUGGCGGCGUGCUUAACACAUGCAAGUCGAACGAUGAUGCCAGCUUGCUGGUGGAUUAGUGGCGAACGGGUGAGUAACACGUGAGUAACCUGCCCUUGACUCUGGGAUAAGCCUGGGAAACUGGGUCUAAUACCGGAUAUGACUGACCGUCGCAUGGUGGUUGGUGGAAAGCUUUUGCGGUUUUGGAUGGACUCGCGGCCUAUCAGCUUGUUGGUGGGGUAAUGGCCUACCAAGGCGACGACGGGUAGCCGGCCUGAGAGGGUGACCGGCCACACUGGGACUGAGACACGGCCCAGACUCCUACGGGAGGCAGC